rnacentral:rRNA from 1 species
CACGUAGGCGGCGUGGUAAGUCAGAUGUGAAAUUUCGGGGCUCAACUCCGAAGCUGCAUUUGAAACUACUAUGCUAGAGGUUGGGCGGAGAAAGAGGAAUUCCAAGUGUAGCGGUGAAAUGCGUAGAUAUUUGGAAGAACACCUGUGGCGAAAGCGUCUUUCUAGCUCAAUCCUGACGCUGAGGUGCGAGAGCAAGGGGAGCAAACA